GAUGAAGAACGUAGCGAAAUGCGAUACGUAAUGUGAAUUGCAGAAUUCAGUGAAUCAUCGAAUCUUUGAACGCACAUUGCGCCCGCCAGUAUUCUGGCGGGCAUGCCUGUUCGAGCGUCAUUACAACCCUCAGGCCCCCGGGCCUGGCGUUGGGGAUCGGCGGAGCCCCCCGUGGGCACACGCCGUCCCCCAAAUACAGUGGCGGUCCCGCCGCAGCUUCCAUCGCGUAGUAGCUAACACCUCGCGACUGGAGAGCGGCGCGGCCACGCCGUAAAACACCCAACUCUUCUGAAGUUGACCUCGAAUCAGGUAGGAAUACCCGCUGAACUUAAGCAUAUCAAAGCGGAGGA
rnacentral:misc_RNA from 1 species